UCAUGUGGUUUAUGUAGGUUAACAGUGUGAACAGCUUGAUAACAGACUUCUAUAACCUCUUAUUUUAAAAUAGUUUUCUAGAACAGCCUGUUAAGACACUUAGCAGUGUAUUAAAUUUUGGUCCUCACCCUACCCCAGAAUAGUAUCUUCACUUAUUUUCCACUGGGUGAAAUCUUCUAUCAGUUUGCGUGUAAACUGUCCAGUAUUUCUCCUUAGUUUUACUGGGCUCUUCAAAGAGCCCACCUCUGAACCUCUCUUCCACAGCGUUCCUCCACUCGUGCCCGUGAUGCCUGCGCACCAGUACAAUGUGGCGCCAGGUUGUUCCUUAGCCCCGCUCUCCAUACACAGCCCUCUGCAGUGGUGGCUGGUGCCAUCAGCCCUCUCAUCCUCGGGGUGCCCCAGCAGGUACCACCAGACUCCAGUGAAUCCUCCGGAGGCUAAGAUGCCCUGGAGGCCACGCAGCGGGUAGUGCCAGCCCCCGCAGCCCAGCAUUCCCAGGCAGCGGCACAGCUUGGUGCUGCCAGCAGCGUGGCUGCUGUGCUGCCGCAUCUUCUGCCAUGUGCGUGCACCAAAUCAGUUCUCAGGUUAAACCACAGGAUGCAGGAUUACGAAGUCAUUCAUUCAAGGAGUACAGCAGGAUAAACUGUAAAAAUCUCCAUGUUCCAAAACGUACAGGAGAAGAUACAACUUCUUUUCGGUCUGUCUGAUCUCUGUAGGACUGACUGCGAGCUAAAGGCACCUAAGGAAGUUAUCUGCAUCCUACUGAAUCAAGAAAACAGGGAAGAUUAAACUAGUUGAUUAGACUGUGAAUUAUCACAAAUAAUUAACAAAGCAAAAGGAAGAUUUAAAGAUUACAUGACUCCAAAUGUUUUAUUGCUUUUAUUCAUAUAUAAAUACUAAUCGACUUUGCAAUGCUACAGUUCUUAAUUGGUGUGAAUACAGAUGUCUUUCUGCAGGAAAGCAUUUUAACCUGAGGUGCUCUUGCAGUUCUGUUGUUUUCCUCAUGUGUGUUAAUUCACCAUUUACAUUCAGACCCAAGCCUGUGAUUUAUUGUCUGAGUUAGAACCUAUUUUUUCAGCUAGUCUGGUCUGUCAUUCAUUAGGCUUUUUGAGGAAAUAUAUGCCGACAGACUUCACCUCUACCUAAAAGUAAAAUGCGUUUUUUGAAAACAAAGAAUUAACACUUAUUUGAUGCCACAAAACACAAGAGAAGUACACACUCUCAAUUAUACACAUUUUUCUUACUUACAGGGAAUAUGUAACAGAACAAUGCUUAAGGAAAUUUCAGACUAACUGUAACAAGGUGCAAAAAAAUAAUUCAUCAACCUACUAUAAAAGAAAACCACAAACUGUACAUGACCUCUUGAUAAAGCUAUUACUAAAACCCCAUUUGCCAUUGUUAACCAUCCCAUUUUACUAUGUAUUAGGAAUGUCUUUGUCCCAAUAAUGACUACACACUAUGUCAAAUAGGAAGAAGUAUGGACAGAAAUCCUUAACCUGUAAUUCUACAUAGAUGUGCACACAGGAAUUCUGCCUAUGGCUAGAAAGAGGAGUUACCAAAUUAAUUGAUUCACAAGUGUAAAGCUGGAUACUAUAUCAAUGCUCUUUGGAGAAUUUAGCAACAGGGAAUUACACACAACCUUUGAAUGCUGAAGUUCAUUAGUGCUUGCAUCUCAUAUUGAUGAGCUUCAUAUAAAGGAAUGGAGGAACAGCCUCAAGAAUAUGGCAGUCAAGCAGAAGUUGAAUUUUCAAAGGAAACUGUCAGUUGAUGCAUGAUGAAAUGGAAUUAGAAGAAGAAUGACAUGUCUUUGGCUACACUUGAAUGGAACAGUAGUUGAGAAUAUAAUCAGAGAAAAGAACAAGAACUUUCUGAGGCUGUAAACAAUGAUAUACACAGGCUUAAUAAAGUGUCACA